UACGGGGGGAGCAAGCGUUGUUCGGAUUUACUGGGCGUAAAGGGCGCGUAGGCGGCCUCCGCAAGUCAGUUGUGAAAUCUCCGAGCUUAACUCGGAAAGGUCAACUGAUACUGCGGGGCUAGAGUGCGGAAGGGGCAACUGGAAUUCUUGGUGUAGCGGUGAAAUGCGUAGAUAUCAAGAGGAACACCUGCGGCGAAGGCGGGUUGCUGGGCCGACACUGACGCUGAGGCGCGAAAGCUAGGGGAGCAAACAGG
rnacentral:rRNA from 1 species